rnacentral:rRNA from 1 species
UACGUAGGGUGCGAGCGUUGUCCGGAAUUACUGGGCGUAAAGCGCGUGUAGGUGGUUGCAUAAGUCACUGUUGAAAGCUCCCGGCUAAACUGGGAGAGGUGCGGUGAGACUGUGCGGCUAGAGUAUGGGAGAGGGAUGCAGAAUUCCGGGUGUAGUGGUGAAAUGCGUAGAGAUCCGGAGGAAUACCAGAGGCGAAGGCGGCAUCCUGGCCUAUAACUGACACUGAGACGCGAAAGCAUGGGGAGCGAACGGG